rnacentral:RNase_P_RNA from 1 species
GCGGAUGGCUGGAUGAUCGCGGGCGGCAACGUUCGAGGAAAGUCCGGACUCCAUGAAGCAAUGGUGCCGGGUAACGCCCGGCCGGGGAAACCCGAGGGACAGCGCCACAGAGAACAGACCGCCGCGCAUCUGUGCGGUAAGGGUGAAACGGUGGGGUAAGAGCCCACCGCGGGGCUGGUAACAGCUCUGGCACGGCAAGCCCCACCGGGAGCAAUGCCAAAUAGGGGUUCCGUGCGGCUAUUGCCGCGGGCCGCUUCAGCCCAGGAACCCGGGUUGGCAGCUAGAGCGCGUCGGUAACGGCGCGCCCAGAGGAAUGGUCAUCCAAGGGGGCAACCCCUGGACAGAAUCCGGCUUACAGGCCAUCCGCGCGC